rnacentral:rRNA from 1 species
UACGGGGGGAGCAAGCGUUGUUCGGAUUUACUGGGCGUAAAGGGCGCGUAGGCGGCCACCGCAAGUCAGUUGUGAAAUCUCUGGGCUUAACCCAGAAAGGUCAACUGAUACUGCGGGGCUAGAGUGCAGAAGGGGCAACUGGAAUUCUCGGUGUAGCGGUGAAAUGCGUAGAUAUCGAGAGGAACACCUGCGGCGAAGGCGGGUUGCUGGGCUGACACUGACGCUGAAGCGCGAAAGCUAGUGGAGCGAACGGG